rnacentral:rRNA from 1 species
CUACAGGCUUAACACAUGCAAGUCGAGGGGCAGCAUGGUCUUAGCUUGCUAAGACUGAUGGCGACCGGCGCACGGGUGAGUAACACGUAUCCAACCUGCCGUCUACUCUUGGACAGCCUUCUGAAAGGAAGAUUAAUACAAGAUGGCAUCAUGAGUCCGCAUGUUCACAUGAUUAAAGGUAUUCCGGUGGACGAUGGGGAUGCGUUCCAUUAGAUAGUAGGCGGGGUAACGGCCCACCUAGUCUUCGAUGGAUAGGGGUUCUGAGAGGAAGGUCCCCCACAUUGGAACUGAGACACGGUCCAAACUCCUACGGGAGGCAGCAGUGAGGAAUAUUGGUCAAUGGGCGAGAGCCUGAACCAGCCAAGUAGCGUGAAGGAUGACUGCCCUAUGGGUUGUAAACUUCUUUUAUAAAGGAAUAAAGUCGGGUAUGGAUACCCGUUUGCAUGUACUUUAUGAAUAAGGAUCGGCUAACUCCGUGCCAGCAGCCGCGGUAAUACGGAGGAUCCGAGCGUUAUCCGGAUUUAUUGGGUUUAAAGGGAGCGUAGAUGGAUGUUUAAGUCAGUUGUGAAAGUUUGCGGCUCAACCGUAAAAUUGCAGUUGAUACUGGAUAUCUUGAGUGCAGUUGAGGCAGGCGGAAUUCGUGGUGUAGCGGUGAAAUGCUUAGAUAUCACGAAGAACUCCGAUUGCGAAGGCAGCCUGCUAAGCUGCAACUGACAUUGAGGCUCGAAAGUGUGGGUAUCAAACAGGAUUAGAUACCCUGGUAGUCCACACGGUAAACGAUGAAUACUCGCUGUUUGCGAUAUACUGCAAGCGGCCAAGCGAAAGCGUUAAGUAUUCCACCUGGGGAGUACGCCGGCAACGGUGAAACUCAAAGGAAUUGACGGGGGCCCGCACAAGCGGAGGAGCAUGUGGUUUAAUUCGAUGAUACGCGAGGAACCUUACCCGGGCUUAAAUUGCAGAUGAAUUACGGUGAAAGCCGUAAGCCGCAAGGCAUCUGUGAAGGUGCUGCAUGGUUGUCGUCAGCUCGUGCCGUGAGGUGUCGGCUUAAGUGCCAUAACGAGCGCAACCCUUGUUGUCAGUUACUAACAGGUUCCGCUGAGGACUCUGACAAGACUGCCAUCGUAAGAUGUGAGGAAGGUGGGGAUGACGUCAAAUCAGCACGGCCCUUACGUCCGGGGCUACACACGUGUUACAAUGGGGGGUACAGAGGGCCGCUACCACGCGAGUGGAUGCCAAUCCCCAAAACCUCUCUCAGUUCGGACUGGAGUCUGCAACCCGACUCCACGAAGCUGGAUUCGCUAGUAAUCGCGCAUCAGCCACGGCGCGGUGAAUACGUUCCCGGGCCUUGUACACACCGCCCGUCAAGCCAUGGGAGCCGGGGGUACCUGAAGUGCGUAACCGCGAGGAGCGCCCUAGGGUAAAACUGGUGACUGGGGCUAAGU